AUCGUUUACUGGUACCUCACUAAAGGAAUGCUGAAGUUUAUUAAAACCCAUGCUCCCCAUUAGGAGGCCAUGAGGAUGAGCAAGAUACUUAGAAGCCACCUCGAUCUGAACGUGUCUGCCAAGCGAUGGGUGUUGACGAGGCCCUAGGGAAUUGUAACCCAGCCCCUCAUUUUCAUAAUGAAGAAACAGAGGUUAUGCCUGGUCCAUAUUUGCCGGGGGAACUAGUUGCAGAACAUGGAUGAGACCUGGGUGUCCUGACUCCAGUCCAGUGAAAGGAGAUACCAGGGGUAUCAGGAGAGAAAAGCAGAUGUUUUGACCCACUUGAGCAGCUGUAACUCAUCAAGGUGAAAGUAUAGGGCAGCCAGCAGGAAAGGCUGGUGCUCUGCUAGUUUGACCAUUCUGACACCCAAACAAAUAUUGCCUGCCGCGGUCAGGAAAGACCCACCUGGUCCACAGGAAACUGUAAAAUACACCUGGGCAUUUCUUUCCUUGGGCCUCCAAGAUGGAUUGAAUGAAGCCACACCAUGAACUGAGCACUGUGUGAUGGUUUACUCAGCAAAUGGCUGCCGGGGUUCUGCCGGUGUAGCCCCUUGGUCCCAUCAGAGUUGGGGGAACUGCUACUUGACAUGAGGCUCUUAUUAUUGCGGAACAACUCUUCUGAAACUGCUCAAAGUUCAUCUUUUUUCCAGCUUUAUUAAGAGGGGACCCCGGACACGGAGAUGAACUGGAGAGACAGCCCCCUGACUGCUCGUCCUCCUUAAAUCUAUCCGCACACCGCAGCAGCAUCUGAACUACUGCCCGAGCUAACGAGCUUCUUACAAACCGGUCGGACCACAUCCCUGCCCUCCUUCACGGCUCCCUGGCCCCCGGGCCCUGGGACAUUGCAGCCCCCGCCGUCCCCCAGCGCUGCGCGGGCCCUUCCCCGCGGCCCCACGUCCUCCCGGGCGCCCUGUGUGUGUGCUCCCCUGACCUCACCGCUUUCGCGACUCUGGGCCUCUGCGUUUGGGGUCGUCCCUAUUUCUCCCUUCCUCGCGCCCCUCGAACUCCUCCCCAGCUCGCACACGGCUGCCCCGCGGAGCUCUCCCCAGCGCCCCCGCAGACCCAGCCGCCCUAUCCUGCUGCCGCGCUCCGCGCCUCCAUCACCGCUCCAUCCUCACGGUUCCGCGGGAAGCCCUCGGGGCGGGGCCGCGCCUCAGACCCCUCCGUGUCCCGACACGCUCGGCAAGAGGAACGCCUCUGCCAGGCAUGUAGAGGGCAGCGGGGCAGGACUGCUGCAGAGGUGAAGGGAGCACGAGGGACAGACAGGAGCGCAGAGAGAGGGGCAAGCACCGCGUCCUGGCUGAGAGGAUAACGCAAACGCUGAAUACCUACAUUACACCAGCCGAGGGUCAGCCCCAUGUCCCGCUGAUUUUCGCAUGCAACAACCCUGUGUCAAGCUGAUCUCGUGGUGUUCGCUGAGAGGGGUGAGGAGAGGGUCGGAUGACGCCAGCAGCUGGAAGGGAGGGGGAGGAGGGGCACACAGUUACUGCCCUCCUGGUCCUGCUCUGCUGGGCAGCUAUCACCAAGCAGGAGCCCUGUCCCACUCUGGCAGGACACAUGAGUGUCCCCUUCCUCUCCAACCCCUUGUAGGAGGCAUCAUGGUAUAAUGGGAGAAGCAGGGGCCUCAGAGCCAUAGAGACCUGGGUUCAAAACCCAGCUCAGCUGUUGCUGGCUGUGUGAUCGCAUGCAAGUUACUUAACCCCUCUGAUCUUCAGACUACUCUCCUGAAAAAUAGGAAUUUUAAAAACCCAAAACUUACUCCACAGGAUUAUUCAUUCCUAGAACAAAUUUUUUUUGAGUCCUCAUUUGUAUUAGUUCUGAUCUAGUCAAUGGGAAUAUAGUAGCUUCAUAUAUAAUAAGUACUUAAAUAUUUGCUUCUUUCUUUUCUGCUAUUCAUUCCCUAGUUGAAAGCACAGAAUCCUUAGAGAAAUCCCCUCCUUUUUUCCUCUUCUCUAGUGCACAUUGUUUUGUCCUCCAAGUAAAGAUCACCUAAUAACAAGAGUAACACCUAACACCAGGUACUUACUACCUGCUAGGCACUAUUUGCAGUACUUACAUACUUUACUAAUUUAAUGCUCACAACAACACAAAGAGAUUGAUUUUACAAAUAAGGAAAAGGAGGCACAGAGAAGCUAAGGGAUUUGUCAUGGUCACACAGCCAGUAAAUUAUGGAGCUGGGAUUUGCACCAGGGCUCCUGGGUUCGAGUCCACAGCCUGAGCCAAUACGUUAGAGAUCAUAUAGUUCAGGCCCUCUGCGUGAUAGCGUGUCUUCACAGCUGUCUCUCUUCCCCCAUCCCUCCUUGUCUUUUCUCUUCUCCUCUCUUCUGUUCUUUUCCUCUCAGCUGAAGAAACUGAAGGCUACUUUGGACAGGGUUAGGUGACAGGCUCAAAGUUACACAACUCCUGUGGCCUUUAUCCUCCAUUCCCGGGCCCUUCCUCUGACACUGUGCAACAGUAGACAAUCAGUGUGAAGGCAAACAGCUGAAAUUAAUUACAAUUUUGAGUAAAUAAUUUAUAUAACUUUAUACUCCCCGUUGUGACAACCAUUUGAAGGUAUCAGAUGUAAUGGUAAAAAGAUUCCCAUUAGAUACCAUUAUGCUUCUUUUAGUUUAAUUAAUCCCAAUCUGAAAUGCACUCUUUGUUUUUGCUAGCCUUGUUUGAAUUUCUGCCCCCACAAAUAUUUGUGCUGUUGUUUUAGUUUCAAUUAGCUUCUGGUGUUUUCCUUGGACUGGUUUUUGUGAUGGAAUGGGGGUGGAGUGUUUACAGUCUGACCUGUCAUCUGUGAAGCUUUGCCUCCCCAAACCACCACAGCCACAGCUCAGAGACGACAACGAAGUGCAGUCAAAACAAGCCCAGGGCGCUGGGGAGCCUGUGAGCACUGGCCCCGCUGCAGACUCACUCUGAAGCCCAAGCCACCCGGAGGCAGUCGUCACACGGAGGAGCAUUGCACACAAGGCCUCCACGGAAUUUCCAGAACUUUGCCCUUGAACUGACAUGAGGUCACCAGAAUCUAGAACCUAAUUCCAGGAAGAAUACUUUCUGGUAUCAAGGAGGUACUCAACCCAGAAGAGAUAAGAAAGUCAAUAGGUGCCAUUGAGAAAUUGGGGCAUAAGUUUACAGAGGGUGGUGUAGGUGAUAAACGAAACACUGGAGGCAGAACACUAUUUGCAGACAGAAGAAUUUCCCAGCUCACCUGUAUGAGUCAAUGAACUCCUCUGAGUUUUGAUUUCCUCAUCUGUAGAAAAAGGAGAUACUAAUACUUGGCUUGCUGACCACCCAGGGAUCAAAUGAGGAAAUUAGGCACAUGAGAUCAAUCUGAAAACUGCAAAGUACUCUAGAAAUACGAUGAAUUAUAUUACUGCUAUUCCAUAACUCGUAUAUAAAGAAAGUGGAGUUUCACUGGAAUAACAUAUAUAACAGUGAUUUCCACUGAAAUGCACCAGAAAGAAUGAUGCAACUCAUUGUGAGACUUUUAUUGCAUUUUUAAACCUGGGAGAGACAGCUUUGCACACAUAACAAAACACAGCAAGAAAGCGUCAGACAGGGACUGUGCGCCUGCACCAGCCUGAGUGUUCCAGACACACUGGGAAGGAUGAGGCAGGUGAGACGUGCAGCCUGGAAGAGUCAACUCCUCUGUGUGCACAAGGGGGCAGGCACAGCCACUGGGCU
rnacentral:lncRNA from 1 species